rnacentral:lncRNA from 1 species
CUUGAAAGAGAAAGUGUUGCAUGCUUAGAAAUUCCAUCUACUUCUUCUUUAUGUGUUUCCUAUGUUAAGCCUACUAGUGUUGUUGGACUUGAAACUAGUGAGUACAUGCAUAAGGAGAUCAUAGUUGGAGUUGACUCGUGUGACACCUUUCUUUAUCCUCUUUGUGCUCAUGAUAUUUUCCACAGGGAUAUAGAGGGUAUGCCUAAUUUUGAAGACGGCACCAUAGGGGAAAGUGAGAGUGGCCGAGGCCUAAGUCCUUGUUUACUCCACCCAUUUGACCCCGG